CCUACGGGUGGCAGCAGUGGGGAAUAUUGCACAAUGGGCGAAAGCCUGAUGCAGCGACGCCGCGUGAGGGAUGAAGGCCUUCGGGUUGUAAACCUCUUUCGCUCAUGGUCAAGCCGCAACUUUGGGUUGUGGUGAGGGUAGUGGGUAAAGAAGCACCGGCUAACUACGUGCCAGCAGCCGCGGUAAUACGUAGGGUGCGAGCGUUGUCCGGAAUUAUUGGGCGUAAAGGGCUUGUAGGCGGUUUGUCGCGUCUGCCGUGAAAUCCUCUGGCUUAACUGGGGGCGUGCGGUGGGUACGGGCAGACUUGAGUGCGGUAGGGGAGACUGGAACUCCUGGUGUAGCGGUGGAAUGCGCAGAUAUCAGGAAGAACACCGGUGGCGAAGGCGGGUCUCUGGGCCGUUACUGACGCUGAGGAGCGAAAGCGUGGGGAGCGAACAGGAUUAGAUACCCUAGUAGUC
rnacentral:rRNA from 1 species